UGCUUCCUUUCACAUUACUUAUUUUCUAGUUUUUUUAAUUAACGAGUGAAAUAAAUAAUUUCGAAAUCGAAAU
rnacentral:tRNA from 1 species